AAGCAUCUGCUGAUAGGUCAGGAGCGACUCCUUUUUGCUCUCUGGCUUGCAUCAAGAUGCAAGAGCAACUUCCUCGCGCUUUCUGCUUGCCUGAUAAAAUGGCAGUUCAGAUUGAAUGGGGGAAAACAGUU